rnacentral:misc_RNA from 1 species
GAUGAAGAACGUAGCGAAAUGCGAUAAGUAAUGUGAAUUGCAGAAUUCAGUGAAUCAUCGAAUCUUUGAACGCACCUUGCGCCCGCCAGUAUUCUGGCGGGCAUGCCUGUUCGAGCGUCAUUUCAACCAUCAAGCCCCCGGCUUGUGUUGGGGACCUGCGGCUGCCGCAGGCCCUGAAAUGCAGUGGCGGGCUCGCUGUCACUCCGAGCGUAGUAGUUACAUCUCGCUCUGGGCGUGCUGCGGGUUCCGGCCGUUAAAAGCCUUAUUUACCCAAGGUUGACCUCGGAUCAGGUAGGAAGACCCGCUGAACUUAAGAAUAUCAAUAAGCGGAGGA